rnacentral:piRNA from 1 species
AGCUGGAGUGCAGUGGUGCGAUCACGGC